GGCUCUGUAACUGCUUAGCUCAUAUAUUUAUAUAUUUUAAAAGUUUAUCCUAAAAUUAGUUGUCUUUUCAACUUCUAUAUAUCAUAAGAUUCAUUUCAAAUGUAAGAAAAACUUUAUUGGUCCAUUAAACAUUAAAUCUAUAAUGAUACAUUCAGUCAGUAUACAAAAGGAAGUGUCCAUAUAAACCAUUAACAUGCUCUGAAAAGGCAAAUCUGUUGACUCCUUUACAAUUGAGAUCUUACAAUUCUGAAAUCUUUACCAAUCCUUAAAAGUGUUACAGUUACUACAGAUCACAACACUUGCAAAAUAUGUUAAACUAGCAAAUCUCCACUGGGCUACAAUUUAGUAAAAUAAAACCACACAUACACCCAAAAAGUUCCCUUAGAUAUUAAGAACCUUGAAAAAGACUAAUUAAAAACCCCUCACCAUUAAGAAAAAGUUUUACAUUUUUACUACUUUGCAUCCAGUUUUCCAACAUGGUGUACAGGAGACUGAACACCAUUCAUCAGUCGUAAACAAAAAGCAGACAGUGAGCCAUAAGUUCCUAGUCAGUAUUUUCUCAUCUUGUAUAUUACAAGUUGAACCAUUUUCUCUUAAAGUUAAUUCUCCUUGCUUUAAGUUUGCAUGGAUGUUCAAUGACACCUAAGCACCUGGACAUGUACUGGUAAUAGGAAAAACAAAGCUAUGGUACGAGUAACGAGACAUUAUUUCCCCAUUGUCUUCCAAAAUUAUUCUUGGCUUCACACUGAGGCUUCUUUGGCAAAAGCACAGCUGCAGUGCUGCACCCCACAGCUCUGGUGAAAAAAAGCCCUGGAAGCUUUAAGCUGAUGUGGAGUGGUUUCAAAGCUGACAACUGUGGCUCUGAAGAAGUUUGCAAAUGGCUGUAUGCUACGCACUUGGAACUAUCAGAGACUGGCAAAGGGGGGGAAACCCACAUGGCUUAUAUCUGAAAUAAAUUCCAACUUUUAAAAAAUAACAUUAUUGAACGGGUGCGGAAUGAGUUGAAACCAGGUUUGAGAAAAAAACAAAGCAAAACAGGAUUUAAGGUCUACUUGAAACCCACAGUUUCUUCAUGCAUUAGAAAGCAGACAUCAUGUCAGUCUUCCAAAGUUUUUACUUCAAACCCUGCACAGUGUGUCUGCAUUCCCAUCCUGGGGCACAUGGGCAUUCUGCCAUCAGGAUGUUGGAAAUGUAGAGACAUACAUUCCCAAGCUGCGUAUCCUGUUACAAGUCCAAAACCCCAAAGCUUUCUAAGCACUUGACCCCUGGCAUUCCCUUGUACAGUCAUGUGAAACACUCAGUUCAAACUACUGUUUACAAAAUUGAAAACACAAAGUAAAAUGUCAUGGUGCUGAUUAUGUUUUCCUCCCACAAAAACUUGCAGGCCACUUCAGAAAACAAAGCAGCAGUUUCCACAGAGGAAAACCAAUCCAUAUAAUAACUAUGAUCCUUGACUUCGCUUCAACACUGCAGGUUGUCCUGCUAUAAAAAGGAAAGGAUCAGUGAGACCUGGCAAAGAAGUCUUCGCUAGUUUCUAGCACCAAAGACAUCCUGCUUGACAGGAAGCAGAAUGGGAGUGAAGCAGGUUUACAACAUCUUUAAAAAACAAAUGCAAGGAGAAAAAGGCAAAUAAAAUGAGGAGAUACAGCCUGCAAGCAAAAGACCUUGCAUCUAAAGCCCAGAAGGAAAGAUGAGGCAAAACUUUAGCUGCAAAUUAUCUCGCUCAUCUAGCCACACAGCUACAAUCUCACGGUAUUUUGCUUCAUCAAUUUACUUAGGACAAAAGCCUAACAGUUUACAGCAUAAAAUCGUUAGAGCAUGUUUUAAAAGCAGUCAGUGGGUUAUUUUGUUACCAACCUGUUCAGAGGUGCCCAUGAUACUGUGAGCUACUAGCCAAAGUUGGAGCAGCACUACUUUGAGUUCCCAAAUUUUCCUGAUUCAUUGGUCAAAAUCAGAGAGCUGUUAAAAACCAGCUUUUUUCACAAGUGCAAUGGUUGCUUCACUAAUAGCAAUGUUCUAGCCCAGAAAUGGCUGAUGAAGCAAUUAUACGUGCAUAGUUCAUAAUUUCAAAGCGCUUCUAGAUUUGUAAAAAGGUGCUCAAACACAAAAUAAAUAAAUAAAUAGACAUGCAGUGUUUAUGAUUACUGUGAGGGGAUAAACCCUCUCUCUGGACUACGCAUACAUUAGCAACACUGAAUUACCCGUUUCAGACAAAAGUGACCCAAUCCAGCCAGGAUUUACUGAAUUAGCUGGGCAAGUACAAGCUUUUUCAACCUCAUGGAAAUGCUUGAAGUACAAAGCAGAGAGUAUCACAAACACGUAAUAACAGUAAGAGUGACCACAGUGGAGUUCCUUACUUGGCACACAGCUGCAAGGGCUGCCUGCAUGCUUUGAGGAACUAGAUGGUAAACAGCAAACAAGCAUAUCCAUCUGCUUUCCACAGAUUCUUAAUAAGGUUUUAUGGUCUCAUUUGUUAGGCCAGGUAUUGGAUUCAAAGACUUGCUCUCUGAGUCCAUCCCACUGAUUUUACCCCAAACAAAAACCAGUCAAGAUUGUAGCUCAGUUGCCUUCAUGAGAAAAUAGGGAAUUGUUCUAGUCUCAGAUGGCAAUGCAGCAGUGAGGUUCUAAAUAACCUUUCUUCUGACAGCAAAUUUGAAAAAGUAGGAAACCGCUAAUAAAAGCAUUUCACCUUCCCAGCAGAACUAACUUCUGCCAACAUGGUCUAUUCCUCCAAGAGUCCAUUAAACGAUAGCAUUAGGUCAAAUUCAAGUUUAGCUAGAGGAAACCUGGUACAGGACAUGUAACAACAGCUUCCUCACUCCACACAGACCAAAAAUACUAGGAAACAGAAAUGAUGCAUGCUCACUUACGUCCAGGAGCAAAUUCAGUUACGACUUGUGGCACAAGGCAGGACAGACAUCCACAGAGAACUGCCUCAAGCAGAACAGUUAUCUGCACUUUCAGGUAUGGGGAAAGUUAACUGUUUACAGUUUACAUGCAAAUGUAAGCGACAUUUACUCACUUAUUCACAAAAGCAUCAGGCUAUUUGUGAGUUUUCCCAGUUCAUCUUCCACUGCACAGUAAUAUCCGAAUCAGUUGCAUCCUCCACAGGUUUGUCAAGCACAGAUUAUUUGGUCUUCCACAUGCACCAUGGGUGUGACUGUCUUGUGCAAACUGGUGUAACGUACAAGGCAGCAGCACUCAGUCACAGGCUCAGUUCAGGUUUUUCAGCUCCAGUGCUACCUGAAUUAGCUAUCACAGCAAUAGGUAUGAAGGCACUUCUUAAAAAGGUUUUAAAAGCCCAUUUGCAUGAACUGUUCAGAAUCUAUGAACUGGGCAUUUGAAACAUUGACCCUAGCUGGGGGUUUUGUUAAGUAGUUGCACAUGGAAGUUCACAGUACAGAUUUUACACUGAACACUAAAGCUGUUACAUUUGCCUGGCCAGCAGGACUCCGUGCCUCAUUGAGGAACUAGAGGCUUUGCACACCCAGGUGCCACCAGUUACUGAUUCCUUAGAGAGGCCUGAGAGCCAUAGCUGGAUCUGGGACCACAGCAUGGACACAUAGAUUCUCAAAAUUAUUUUCAGGCCCUUUCCCACAGUGUUUGCUUACAAGCAGAUAAAGC